rnacentral:rRNA from 1 species
UGUCAAAUCAUCAUGCCCUUUAUGACCUGGGCUACACACGUAAUACAAUGGCGUUUAACAGAGGGAAGCGAAGCUGUGAAGUGGAGCAAACCCCCAAAAAGCGUCCCAGUUCGGAUUGCAGGCUGCAACUCGCCUGCAUGAAGUCGGAAUUGCUAGUAAUCGUGGAUCAUCAUGCCACGGUGAAUACGUUCCCGGGCCUU